UUUCAAUCUGAGAGUUUGAUCCUGGCUCAGAACGAACGCUGGCGGCAGGCCUAACACAUGCAAGUCGAACGCUGUAGCAAUACAGAGUGGCAG
rnacentral:rRNA from 1 species